GCCCUAACUCAAGCAUUCUUCCUUUACCGUCGAAGCCCUCUUCACCGAACAUGAUUGAUAUUCGCAAGGGAAGAAUUCAAAAAUAAACUCAACAAAUUCAUCGUGCAGGUAGCGUUAAUGUCCACGACAUCCUUGAAUAGCAAAAGAGGCUUGAGAGCGGAAGUACUAGAUUUAAGAUACAAGAAUCCAGCAUGUAACUGCGGAAAAUAUGCUGCUAUUAGGGUCGUUGGGCCUACCAAAGAUACCGAAGGUCAUGGUGCCAUAGAGAGGGCUGAAAUGGACAACAUUGCUAGAGUGAUAGAGUUGAACAUGAAGCGUUUUGAAAAAAAAUACGAAUAGGGUUACAUAUCUUUGUGUUUUUGUUAUUGUUGUUUUUGCAUUUAUGGUAAUAUGUAAGUAGGUGUCUAUGUUUUUUGGUGUUGUAUUUAGAAAUAUCUCUUGUAUUCGGUGUUUGAACUAUUGUUAUGACAUCUUUUGGAUUUCAUUGUUAUGACAUCUAUUGUAUUCGGUGUU